rnacentral:misc_RNA from 1 species
UGAUUUUAAGGAAAUUCCCAAAGAGGAAUGGUUCUGUUCCCGUGAAUGCAGUACGAUUCAUGCUGCAUUGCAAAGGUCGGUUAUUUAUGGUGAAGUCCAACUCCAGUUAUCGGACUUGGAUAUUAUAAAGAAGCACAGGGAAUCAGACUCCAAUGCCAAUGCCAAUAUAAGAUGGAGACUUCUUAACCGCAAAACUAUUGGUCCUGAAACGAAAUCGUUGUAUACAGCAGCAGUCUCUAUUUUGCAUGAAUCAUUUGAUGCCAUUG